GAUUCCUACGGGAGGCAGCAGUGGGGAAUAUUGCACAAUGGGCGAAAGCCUGAUGCAGCAACGCCGCGUGAGGGACGACGGCCUUCGGGUUGUAAACCUCUUUUAGUAGGGAAGAAGCGAAAGUGACGGUACCUGCAGAAAAAGCACCGGCUAACUACGUGCCAGCAGCCGCGGUAAUACGUAGGGUGCAAGCGUUGUCCGGAAUUAUUGGGCGUAAAGAGCUCGUAGGCGGUUUGUCGCGUCUGCUGUGAAAACCCGAGGCUCAACCUCGGGCCUGCAGUGGGUACGGGCAGACUAGAGUGCGGUAGGGGAGAUUGGAAUUCCUGGUGUAGCGGUGGAAUGCGCAGAUAUCAGGAGGAACACCAAUGGCGAAGGCAGAUCUCUGGGCCGUAACUGACGCUGAGGAGCGAAAGCAUGGGGAGCGAACAGGAUUAGAUACCCUGGUAGUCCAUGCCGUAAACGUUGGGAACUAGAUGUGGGGACCAUUCCACGGUCUCCGUGUCGCAGCUAACGCAUUAAGUUCCCCGCCUGGGGAGUACGGCCGCAAAGCUAAAACUCAAAGGAAUUGACGGGGGCCCGCACAAGCGGCGGAGCAUGCGGAUUAAUUCGAUGCAACGCGAAGAACCUUACCAAGGCUUGACAUAUAGAGGAAACGUCUGGAAACAGUCGCCCCGCAAGGUCUCUAUACAGGUGGUGCAUGGUUGUCGUCAGCUCGUGUCGUGAGAUGUUGGGUUAAGUCCCGCAACGAGCGCAACCCUCGUCCUAUGUUGCCAGCACGUAAUGGUGGGAACUCAUGGGAUACUGCCGGGGUCAACUCGGAGGAAGGUGGGGAUGACGUCAAAUCAUCAUGCCCCUUAUGUCUUGGGCUUCACGCAUGCUACAAUGGCCGGUACAAAGGGCUGCAAUACCGCAAGGUGGAGCGAAUCCCAAAAAGCCGGUCUCAGUUCGGAUUGAGGUCUGCAACUCGACCUCAUGAAGUCGGAGUCGCUAGUAAUCGAUCCAUAUGACUAG
rnacentral:rRNA from 1 species